AUGGGGAGGGGGUCCUGUUGGAGUAAGCCCCGGGGGGGCAUGCGUGGAGCCCGAGAAGGCCGGCGCCCGUGCCCCUGUGGACGGCAGGCGCCAUGUCUUGUUUGUUGUCAUUGUGCCCAGGGCACAGCACACGGCUGCCCCAAAGCAGGAGUAUCGUCAGUAUUUGGACAGAGUGGGUGGAGUGCGGAGAGCUCACGGAGGGAGGGGCGUCCAGCAGGGUCCUGGUGGGCUCUGCAGCAGGUGCCGCCCCCUCUCCGUGGUGGGUGGGCCACGGUAUGCGGUCCCUGGAGGCAGGGUGGUGAGUGGUACCCGGGUGGGGCCGACCCAUCCUCCCCGACACCUUUGGGGAAAGCACUCAGGGGGCCGGUGCCCUGGCGCAGGUUAAUCCUCCGCCUGUGGCGCCGGCAUCCCAUAUGGGCACUGGUUCUAGUCCCAACUGCUCCACUUCCAUGCAGCUCUCUGCUGUGGUCUGGGAAAGCAGUAGAAGACGGCCCAAGUGCUUGGGCCCUGCACCUGUGUGGGAGACCUGGACGAAGCACCUGGCUCCUGGCUUCAGAUCGAGUGAACCAAUGCAGAAAACCUGUCUCUCCCUCUCCUCUCAGUAACUCUACCUCUCAAAUAAAUAAAAUCUUAAAAAAAAAAAAAAAAGAAAGAGAAAAGCACUCAUCUAGGCUGGGAAUAGCCUCGGCUCUGUGGGGCGAGGGGGGCCUGCCCUUCGUCCAGCUGACAGCAGCCAUGCAGUGGCCUCGGGCCCCAGGCUGGCCGCAGCCCAAGGCUGAGCACAUGGGCUCACACCAGGGCCGGACGCAGGGGAAGCCGGCUGCUCACCGGGCUGUACGCGGUGUCCUUCACCGCCCAGGCGUGAGGGGCUGUGGCGGGCAUGUCCGUGGCCACGCGCAUCACAGUGGGCUGUACGUGGUGUCCCCACAGAACCACGCCCAAGUCCUGUGGGCCUGCGACAGGGACCUCAGUGGGAAUGCCCUUCACAGCUGGGGCGGUGCCAGGGUCUUGACAAGGGGGGUCAGCCCGGCUAUGGGAACGGGGCCCUAA
rnacentral:lncRNA from 1 species